AAACUACAAAAUGGAGGGGAGUUGGAUCGUCAGGUUUCAUACCACUUAGGUUGAUAAUUUCUCUCGGGUGGUCUGGUUCCUUCACUCACACAUGCACACAAAACUAAAUUACAGUAUUACAACAACAACAACAAUCCAGUAUAAUCCUACUUAGUAGGGUCUUAGGAGGGUAAUAUGUACGCAGACCUUACCCCUACCUUGGGUAGAGAGGUUGUUUCCAAAUAGACCCUCUGCAUCUUUCCCUCCAAGAACUUCCCACCUUGCUCUUGGGAAAACUCGAACUCACAACCUCUCGGUUGGAAGUAGGGGUUGCUUACCAUCAGAGCAACCGCUCUUGUCAUAAAUUACAGUAUUAAUAGAUUUAUAAAGAAAGUCAGCUGCAUGUACGUUCCUUAAAAGUUGGAACAAUGUUUCAGCUAGAACAGACAACGAAGUGCUAAAUGUUCUCAGCUUUUCCAAAGUGCUGAUGGCAUUGAUUCUCACCCGCAUACAAGGAUUGAACAUUUUUUUCAAUUUGCUAUAUAUGUUGCACUUUACUUUCAGCUUCGGGAAAACCAAAAUAAAGGUCAUUCUAAGCAACUGUCUUCUGCAACUAGAGUCUCAAUCCACUAAAAUAUUAAAUUGAACAAGAAAACCACUUUAGAAUAUAUAUAUAUAUAUAUAUAUAUAUAUAUAUAUAUAUAUAUAUAU
rnacentral:lncRNA from 1 species